GGUUUAUUUAAGCAAUAACCUCAGUGCAUAAUAUGUUUGCGCCAUUUUGUCCCUGACGAAUUACAAUAACAAUAAUGCAUAAACAAGCUUCAAGGCUAUGCUACGACUCUUUCGGUACACAAUAUACUGUGGUAACCUUAAGUAGAUAAGGAUGUCCAGACUUUAAGAUGCCAUCUUGAACUAAGUCAGGAAAAUUUCCAUGACGUAUACACCCUUUAGUUAUGGCCUUGUAUGUUUGCCAAGUUAAGGGAG